rfam:Dehalococcoidia bacterium SM23_28_2 WORSMTZ_31124, whole genome shotgun sequence.
CCUGAUGAGGGUUUGAUCCUGGCUCAGGACGAACGCUGGCGGCGUGCCUUACGCAUGCAAGUCGAGCGAGGUACAGGGCUUCGGCUUUGUACCUAGCGGCGGACGGCUGAGUAACACGUAAGUAACCUGCCCUCCAGUGGGGGAUAACUUCUCGAAAGAGGGGCUAAUACCGCAUGCGUUCCCGGGGGGAAGUUCCCCGGGAGGAAAGCCUUCGGGCGCUGGAGGAGGGGCUUGCGGCCUAUCAGGUAGUUGGUAGGGUAACGGCCUACCAAGCCUACGACGGGUAGCUGGUCUGAGAGGACGAUCAGCCAGACGGGGACUGAGACACGGCCCCGACUCCUACGGGAGGCAGCAGCGAG